rnacentral:rRNA from 1 species
CCUACGGGUGGCAGCAGUGAGGAAUAUUGGUCAAUGGGCGCGAGCCUGAACCAGCCAAGUAGCGUGAAGGAUGACUGUCCUACGGGUUGUAAACUUCUUUUAUAAAGGAAUAAAGUGAGGCACGUGUGCCUUUAUGUAUGUACUUUAUGAAUAAGGAUCGGCUAACUCCGUGCCAGCAGCCGCGGUAAUACGGAGGAUCCGAGCGUUAUCCGGAUUUAUUGGGUUUAAAGGGAGCGUAGGUGGGUUGUUAAGUCAGUUGUGAAAGUUUGCGGCUCAACCGUAACAGUGCAAUUGAUACUGGCAGCCUUGAGUACAGGUGAGGUAGGCGGAAUGCGUGGUGUAGCGGUGAAAUGCUUAGAUAUCACGAAGAACUCCGAUUGCGAAGGCAGCUUACUAACCUGCCACUGACAUUGAUGCUCGAAAGUGUGGGUAUCAAACAGGAUUAGAUACCCCGGUAGUC